AAGCGGGUCUGCACAAGGGCCUUCACAAAGGCUCCAACCCAGGAGCCGGCCCUGAGCAGGCUUUGGAAGCUCUGGGGGAGCCUCCUGUGUUCCCAGGGCGCCUAGUUCAGGUGGGGUGGCUGCUCCCUGUCUCUGCCUUCCUGGGGCCAUUUUCUCAUGGCCUGUGUUCAUGCCAGAACUAAAGUUGAGCUUGGUUCUGACACUGUGGGGAAGGAGGUAGAGUGGGGGAGUGGGGAGAGCCCCUUCUCCGGACAUGGCGGGGAUGGGGGUGGGGGAGCGGGCCCUGGGCCCCCCUCAAGCCUGCAUGUGUCAUCCUACUCCGGAGCUCCUCAUCCAAGUAGGCCCCAAAGUCUUCCUCAGCGGCCGUGGCUUCUCAGGCCAGUCAUCCCCCUCCCAGCUCUGCUCUGCUCUUCUUGGGAGCGUGCGUUUGGCCAUAAUGGCUGCCCCGUGAGUCCUCCCAGCAGACUAGGAGCUCCAGGAGCGCACAGGACUCUGGGCCAGGCCGGACAAAGCAGCUCUUCUCCACAGAACCACAGAACCACAGAACCACCUUCAGCCCCAACCUGAUGGUUUGGCCAGAGUCAAGGAUGGCCCCCAAGGCCCAUGUGCGCCACCUCACACACUCGCCAGCUCUGGGUUACUCACGCUGCUACGCCCAUUUCUAAGUGAACUGGCUGAGACACGGGGAAGCCCCAAGUUUCAUGGAGGCCACAAAUGUCAUGGAGGCCACAGGUUUCAUGGAGGCCACGAGUGUCACAGAGCCCACAAGUGUCACAGAGAUCAUGGGUGUCACAGAGGCCACGGGUUUCAGAGGCCACGGGUUUCACAGAGGCCACUGGUUUCAUGGAGGCCACGGGUUUCACGAGUGUCACGGAAGCCACGGGUGUCAUGGAGACCACGAGUGUCACAGAGACCACGAGUGUCACGGAGGCCACGAGUGUCAUGGAGACCAUGAGUGUCAUGGAGACCCCGAGUGUCACAGAGGCCACAAGUGUCAUGGAAGCCAUGAGUUAGGCCACAAGUGUCAUGGAGACCACAAGUGUCACAGAAGCCACGAGUAUCACAGAGACCAUGAGUUUCAUGGAGGCCACGAGUGUCAUGGAGGCCACAAGUGUCUCAGAGGCCACGAGUGUCACAGAGACCAUGAGUUUCAUGGAGGCCACGAGUGUCAUGGAGACCAUGGGUGUCAUGGAGGCCACGAUUGUCACAGAGACCACAAGUGUCAUGGAGACCAUGAGUGUCACAGAGGCCACGAGUGUCAUGGAGGCCACAAGUGUCAUGGAGACCAUGAGUUUCAUGGAGGCCUGUUCCCUGGCUUGAUGUUUGUGUUCCUGGCCGUUGUCCAGCCCUGGAGAUGCAGCUCCCCCCAACCUAGUCUGCCCUCCUGGACUCACCAGAGGGAACCAGUGAGACAGCAUGGAAGGUCCCAUCUGCAGAUCUUGGUCAAAUCACAGACUAUUGAACCUCUUCUGAGACAUGGAUCAGCCCAUCUAUUGCUUUGAUAGCUGUUAACGCACCACACUUACCCUCUGCAUGGAUUGAGAGCCUUCGCCCAUUUCUCAGCUUGAAGCAGCUUAGAUUGAGACCAUCGCCUCUACUCCUGAUAAUGGAAUCCCUCGCUGAGACUGCUGCCUGCCCAUGCCUGACCUGUGCCAAGGCGAACCCCACCCACCCCCCACUGUGCCUGCCCUGCGCCCCCCCGAGGACUCACACCGGGCCACACUGGGAAGUCAAUUUCACAAACAUGGAAGUUCGGGUUCAAGGACAGCAUUUUCUUUCUCUUUAUGUUGACACCUUCUCAGGUUGGCCUGAAGCCUUUCCUGUAAACUCUGAAUCUGCUUUGGUCGUAGCCAAGAAACUUCUGACUGAGAUUAUUCCCCGGUUUGGACUCCCCUUCUCCCUCGGUCUGACAAAGGCCCGGCCUUUGUUUCUGACAUUGUUCAGUCCCUGGCCCAGGCCCUCGGGUCCCACACGGACCACAGGGUUCGGGUCAGGAGGAAGGCGAGAACAGGACACUUGAGGAGCACAUUUCUGAGCUCCGUGGGGAGCUGGGGAGACCCGGGUGGGAGCCCAUGCAGUGCCCACCCCCAUCCUUCCCCGCUUGGGGCAGGGGCGGCUCUUAUGAUGUUACUAAUGGGUCCCUUUUCAAGUCCCUACAGGCCCUCCAGGACACCCAGGCAGUGAUCAGGGCUCUGCCGGCCUCCCUGGCCCCCACUGCUGGGCCGGACCUCCGAUGGGGGGAUGGGAUCCUGACCAGGAAGUUUCCUCGUGGCUCUGCCUUGGAACCUGGCGGGGCCGGCCCGGUCGUCCUCUGGGAUCCCUCAGCAGGGAAGGCGGCCACCACAAGGCUGGGAGCCAUCGCUCACAGGGGAGGCCUUGCCCCGCUCCCCUCGUGCCUGCAGGUCCCAUGCAGGAAGAUGGUGUUUUCAGUCUCAUCUCCUUUUAUGGCCUGACUCUCUCUCUGCUCCGCUCCCCCCCCCCCCCAUUGGGGAAGCCCGGCCACUAUUCCCCCCAGAGAUUUCCCCCAUAGAUGACAGCUAAGUUCUCAUAGGGACAACUGGGGGGAAGUGGCGGCCAGGGUUCCCUCUGGGCCUCUGCCAGCUCUCGGGGAGGACCUGGAGGGGUCCCCCUGCUCACAGCCCAGAGAAGGAGCCUCCCCCAACGCAGUUGUCAGUUCCCCUCAUUUACCCCAAGACCAGCCACAAGGACUCUCACCUGGGAGGGGAAACCACAACCCUCGUCCCCACAUUCCCCAGGACUGCUGUCUCCCAAUGGGACCUGUAUGCCAGCCCUUGAUGGGAUAACCGGCUGAUAAACCUGACCAGUCCCACCCUUGCCACAAGCUGGACCUGCCCCCCCCCCACUUUGUGGGCGUAGGUGCCCCCGGGGGUCAGAGGCCCCCCUCCAGAGAACCUGCCCAUGAUGCACCGCUCACGUUACCUUUGGGAGGGGGGGAAGGGGGAGCCCGGUGCAUCGGAAGUUAUAACCUGGGGCGCUCCCGUACAGAAAGCUCUGUGUAGUGGUUACCGAGGGUCCCCCCCCCACAAAUACCGUAAAUUCCCUUCUACGGUCCGGCAGGGGUCUAUGUUGCGCACACUAUGGGACUAAGUCCUUGGAUCAGUGCUCAAGCUUUGCCUGCUUGUGCACGGGCUCCCUCGGGUCUCUUACUCUGAGGAAGGGGCUGAAGCACACUCGGUCUGUUAGAUGGGGCGAGCAGGGCUGCUCCUACUCGUCCCCCUCCCGGUAGGACUGGGAAUAGCAGGCUCCAGGCUGUGGGGACCCCUGCCCUGAUCCAGGGGACAGCAGCUCUGGGUUCCCAGGUGGGCCAGGACUUUUAAGUCCUGGAAAAUCCCCUGUCCUUCCUGGAGAACUCCCUGAACUCCCGGGCAGAGGCGAUCACCGAUCCCUAGAUUUUCUCUAUCUUAAUCAGGGAGGGGCCCGUAUGGCCCUGGGGGGAGCUUGCUGUUUCUAAGCUAACAAGGCUGGGGCAAUGAAAGAGUCCCUCUCUGCAGUCAGAGGGUGGAUCAAGGCCCCAGAGACAACAGCGCCAGUCAGUGUUUUGGUCCCAGUCACUUUUCAGUUACUCCCCCCGCCUUGGGUAACCUCCCUUGUGACCCCCGAUAGGCCCCCUUACCCUAUUUCUGCUGGAGCUACUGAUGGCCCCUCGUUUGAUUGUUUAACCACAUAUGUCAGGAGGAGGAUCCAGGCAGUUAAGUUGCUUGUUGCCAGGGUCACUUACUCUCUCCUUGAUGAGUCCAGUCUCCAACGGUCUCAAGAAAAGGGGGGAGUGAAGUGGAAAAGCGCCCAAAUGGGACCGUGAGAAACGUACUCUUGGAUCUUUAUAGUUAGAAGUUUGUUACUAGUUCUUCACGCUCUAAUGCAGAUGGUAUUUCUACACCCCCAGAUAUGCUGUCCUGAGAGACCCGAGACCUUGACAACCUGAUAAACUUAAAGAAAUGCUGCUGUCUGGGAAUGACCCCCUUACAGUGAUAACCUUUGCCUCCUGUUUAGAACAGAAAUUCCUUUUAUUAUGACAAAUGUAUCAAGAAGCAUUUUGAUGUCUCUCGCUUUCUCCUUUAAAUAUGAGGCCAUGCUGAGACCACUCAUUACUGACCCUCCCAUCUUGGUGUUGGGGGAUCAGUCCUGGCCAGUAAUAAACGCUCUUCAAACUUCAUGAUUUUGCUACCCUGUGUUUCCUCUCGCUUGGGUG